rnacentral:rRNA from 1 species
AGAGUUUGAUCCUGGCUCAGAGCGAACGCUGGCGGCAGGCCUAAUACAUGCAAGUCGAGCGGUCCCUUCGGGGGCAGCGGCGGACGGGUGAGUAACGCGUGGGAACGUGCCCUUUGGUACGGAACAACUGAGGGAAACUUCAGCUAAUACCGUAUGUGCCCUUCGGGGGAAAGAUUUAUCGCCAUUGGAGCGGCCCGCGUUAGAUUAGCUAGUUGGUGGGGUAAAGGCCUACCAAGGCGACGAUCUAUAGCUGGUCUGAGAGGAUGAUCAGCCACACUGGGACUGAGACACGGCCCAGACUCCUACGGGAGGCAGCAGUAGGGAAUCUUGCGCAAUGGGCGAAAGCCUGACGCAGCCAUGCCGCGUGAAUGAUGAAGGUCUUAGGAUUGUAAAAUUCUUUCACCGGGGACGAUAAUGACGGUACCCGGAGAAGAAGCCCCGGCUAACUUCGUG